GAUGAACGCUGGCGGCGUGCCUAAUACAUGCAAGUCGAGCGAACGGACGAGAAGCUUGCUUCUCUGAUGUUAGCGGCGGACGGGUGAGUAACACGUGGAUAACUUACCUAUAAGACUGGGAUAACUUCGGGAAACCGGAGCUAAUACCGGAUGAUAUUUUGAACCGCAUGGUUCAAAAGUGAAAGACGGUCUUGCUGUCACUUAUAGAUGGAUCCGCGCUGCAUUAGCUAGUUGGUAAGGUAACGGCUUACCAAGGCAACGAUGCAUAGCCGACCUGAGAGGGUGGUGGGCCCCACUGGAACUGAGACACGGCCAAGCCCCCUCGGGGAGGCGCAAGAAGGGAACUUUCGGAAAGGGGCGAAGGCCUGCCGGAGCAACCCGGGGUGAGUGAUGAAGGUCUUCGGAUCGUAAAACUUUUUUAUGGGGGAAAAACAUAUGUGAAAGUACUUGUGCACCUCUGGACGGUACCUAAUAAAAAAGCCCCGGCUAACUCCGUC
rnacentral:rRNA from 1 species